AUGAUUUAUUUAAUGGCCGCGGUAUUUUGACCGUGCAAAGGUAGCAUAAUCAUUAGUCAUUUAAUUGUUGACUUGUAUGAAUGGUUGGACGAAGUAUUAACUGUCUUAUUUAUAUUAUUAGAAUUUAAAUUUUGAGUUAAAAUGCUUAAAUUUUUUUAUAGGACGAGAAGACCCUGUAGAUCUUUAUUUAUUUGAUUCUUAUAUUUUUUGGAUUAUUUAUUUAUAAUUAUUAUAUAUUUUUUGUUGGGGUGACAAGGAGAUAAAAUUAACUCUUUAUUUUAUUUAACACUGAUUUGUGAUUUUUUGACCUUUUAUUAAUGUUAUAAGAUUUAGAUACCUCAGGGAUAACAGCGUAAUUCUUUUUGAGAGUUCAUAUCGACAGAAGAGAUUGCGACCUCGAUGUUGGAUUAAGAUUAUAAAUAGGUGUAGGUGCUUAUUAAUUAAGUCUGUUCGACUUUUGAAAUCUUACAUGAUCUGAGUU
rnacentral:rRNA from 1 species